GCUGUAGCUUAGUGGAAAAGCAUCUGCUUUGUAAGCAGAAGCUCCCAGGUUCAGUCCCCAGUAUCUGCA